rnacentral:rRNA from 1 species
AUGCGGCGCUUGGCGCUGAGCGCAGUAGCUCGACGGCGCCCCGGCGUGGGCCGGCGACGGGGUGUGGCGGCGAUGCAACGGGCAGCACGGAGGUGGUGCGGGCUGGAGGCUGGUGGUGGCGGCGGUUGCAUCCGGCGGCGCGCCCAGAUCAUCCUGCCGAGCCGCGGGUCGCGGGCGACCUGGGUCGCGGUCGGCUUCUCCUGCCAUGGCUCGUGGGCAGGGGGGCGGCGCAAUAGCUGGUGGAUGCGUGCGCCGUUGCCCGGUCGGGCCCUUGCGGCUGGUCGGCGUCGUACGGCACGGGAGAUCCCUCCGGUGGUCAUCCAUGGGCGUGGCGGCGAGAGCUCUGCUUCCUCUGCUCCGGCCACGGGCCGCUGCCGUGGUCUCGCGCGGGGCCGGACCUAUGGCAGGGUGGGACAAAACCGGUGGUUUCGAGGCAGGGAGCUGGUUGGAAGGACGAGAGCUCCGUUGCCGAGCUGCCCGUCGUCGGCCCAAGUGGUUGCCGGUCGUGGCCGUUGGCCAUUCCUCCCCCUCCCCCCUUCCCCAUCCUCAUGUGUUCUCGGUUCCGGCUUUGCUCGAGGCGGAGGUGGUUGGCCGGCGGUCUCGGAGGCAGUUGGGGUGCGGAUUUGCUCAAAGUCUCGGCCUUGGGUGAUCAUCUGGGCGGUCUGGAGGCAGAGCGGCGGCUCUGGAGACGGGAGGCGCGUUGGUCGUGGGCUGACCGCGCGGCUCGGGUGCGGGCGGGCAGCCACGGUCGCUUGGGCGGCAUGGCUGCGGGUGGUUGGCGGAGCGGGGUUGCGACGGAGAGGUUGGAGCACCGGGGUUCACCACUUGACUAGUCCCGGAACUGGCCGACGGAGGCGGCGUCCGCGGACGUCGUUCCCCUCCCUGCAGGCUUCGCCAUGGUGCUCCCACCUCCUACGCGUCACUCCGGGUGAAAACUUGAUCUUCUGGAUCAGACGAUGA